GGCAGCUAUCCUCGCAAGGACCUCACUCUCACAUGGCCUGGGGGGCUUCCAGGGGGUCGGACGUGCCGCGGACCGGAGUAAGUUUAGAAAGACCGGAGGGUGUACUAUUACGCCCGGCGGCGUUUAGAGCCGCCUAAAAUAGGGCGUAAUAGUACGCCCUCCGGUCUUAAGGGGUUAAGACCACGGAAAAACAACAACUUGUCACAUGAUAAAAAGUCCUUUUGUAAACCAGUUACAUGCCUUGUAUAUCUCUGCACAUGAGCAGAGAAUUGCAGGUGCAUAUCUCAUCUGGUUGUAUAUAUAUUUACCAUAGUUCCAGAUAUGUUUUGAAAGCUCCAAACACUUUAAAAAAAAUAAAAUUAUAUUAAAGUAAUCAAAAUGAUCAGUGUUAGUUUAGAUUAUGGCCCAUCCUUUGGGGUUAACUUCCUUUUAUUAAGUGUUCUUGCAUAGCAAGACCACUUAUUGUUAUCUCACAUAUAUAUUCUUAUUUAAGUGUUCUUGCAUAGCAAGACCACUUAAUGUUAUCUCACAUAUAUAUUAUUAAGUGUUCUUGCAUAGCAAGACCACUUAAUGUUAUCUCACAUAUAUAUUUAAGUGUUCU